AGUGAACGCUGGCGGUAGGCCUAACACAUGCAAGUCGAACGGCAGCACAGUAAGAGCUUGCUCUUACGGGUGGCGAGUGGCGGACGGGUGAGGAGUACAUCGGAAUCUACUUUUUCGUGGGGGAUAACGUAGGGAAACUUACGCUAAUACCGCAUACGACCUACGGGUGAAAGCAGGGGAUCUUCGGACCUUGCGCGAUUGAAUGAGCCGAUGUCGGAUUAGCUGGUUGGCGGGGUAAAGGCCCACCAAGGCGACGAUCCGUAGCUGGUCUGAGAGGAUGAUCGGCCACACUGGAACUGAGACACGGUCCAGACUCCUACGGGAGGCAGCAGUGGGGAAUAUUGGGCAAUGGGCGCAAGCCUGAUCCAGCCAUACCGCGUGGGUGAAGAAGGCCUUCGGGUUGUAAAGCCCUUUUGUUGGGAAAGAAAAGCAGCAGGUUAAUACCCCGCUGUUCUGACGGUACCCAAAGAAUAAGCACCGGCUAACUUCGUG
rnacentral:rRNA from 1 species